rnacentral:rRNA from 1 species
UACGUAGGGUGCAAGCGUUGUUCGGAAUUACUGGGCGUAAAGGGCUCGUAGGUGGCCAACUAAGUCAGACGUGAAAUCCCUCGGCUUAACCGGGGAACUGCGUCUGAUACUGGUUGGCUUGAAUCCGGGAGAGGGAUGUGGAAUUCCAGGUGUAGCGGUGAAAUGCGUAGAUAUCUGGAGGAACACCGGUGGCGAAGGCGGCAUCCUGGACCGGCAUUGACGCUGAGGAGCGAAAGCCAGGGGAGCAAACGGG